CUAAAGUGCAGUUUUUGUCGCUAUUCACGUUCAACGUUUGACCGUUCGUUUUAUUUGAAAAGUUUUUAUGAUUAGUAUUUUUAUUGCUAAUAGAUGAUAAAACAUGAAUAGUACUUUAUGUGUAAUUAAAUAUUUUUAAAUUUUUCACAAAAUUUUCAAAUAAGACGGACGGUCAAACGUUGGGUACGGAUAUCCACGGCUGCACUUAUU
rnacentral:pre_miRNA from 1 species